rnacentral:misc_RNA from 1 species
UUGGAAUUGAAGUGUGAAUGCAGUUCCAUCAGUGCGGUUGAAAUUCUUCGAAAUGCGUUAAGCUUUACUAUAUUUUCAACUUGAAACAAGCUCCAAACUACAGGUAAGUAAUUUUUUUACUUGCCAUUAUUGAAACAAAUGUCGAACACAAACUAUGAAUACUUCCCAUGUCAUAUGCGAAGAACCCAGAUGACCAAAAGAAGCAAAUGGAUUCCUCUACAUUCAAUUUGGAAAAGAAACCGCAAUUUUCAGUAGUAUCUCGUCAACAAUUUGAAGAUAAUCAAGAAAUUAAAAAAAAAAAUUGCAAAACACAAACAACAAAACAUGUAAUUGCCUCUUCCUCAUAGUAUAGAAUUUUGCAGAUGGAACUAAGCCUAACACUGUAUACAUAACAGAUAAUGAUACGCCUACGUGUAUUCAUAAAGAAGCAAGAAAACAACGGAAAGAAUAUUAACAUCUAACAGCGGCAGCAUCAAGAAGGAAGUAGGAAACAGCAGCAGCCACUUAAAACAAUAAAGAACAGACUAAAAUUAAAAUCGUAAAACGAACUUACGAGUUUUACAAAGAAACGCAUCGAAGGGACGACGAAACAGGCUCAGAAGUGGCAGAUCCAGACAGAGAGUAAAAGGAGGAUAAGGAAAGAAAGAGGAGGCGUGUCGGCUUCUUGGUUUCUUUUUUAAGUUGGGAAUUCUGAAAUUUGUGGGAAUUUGUGGAAACGACAAGGAGGUGUGAAGAAAGCAGAGAGACAGGUUGUGAAGAAGAAGAAGAAGAAGAA